AAACUCCGAAUGCCGUCAUCUUAUACUUGGGAGUCAGACUGUGGGUGAUAAGAUUCAUAGUCGAAAGGGCAACAGCCCAGAUCGUCAGCUAAGGUCCCUAAAUGUAAGUUAAGUGGUAAAGGAUGUGGGAUUGCACAGACAACCAGGAUGUUGGCUUAGAAGCAGCCACUCAUUCAAAGAGUGCGUAAUAGCUCACUGGUCGAGUGAUCCUGCGCCGAAGAUUUCCGGGGCUAAAACUUACUACCGAAGCUACGGCAUCAGUAAUGAUGGGUAGGGGAGCUUCCCAUACGGGUUGAAGCAUGACCGUAAGGACAUGUGGACAGUAUGGGAGUGAGAAUGUUGGCAUGAGUAGCGAGAUGUGGGUGAGAAUCCCACAGGCCGUAAACCCAAGGUUUCCAGGGGAAGGUUCGUCCGCCCUGGGUUAGUCGGGACCUAAGCUGAGGCCGAAAGGCGUAGGUGAUGGACAACAGGUUGAUAUUCCUGUACUACCGAUAACCGUUUGAGAGAAGGGAUGACACAGUAGGAUAAGCUAAGCACACUGUUGGUUAUGUGUGCCCAAGCAUUGAGGCAGUCAAAGUAGGCAAAUCCGCUUUGAUAAUGCUGGGAUGUGAUGGGGAGCGAAAUUUAGUAGCGAAGUAGCUGAUUUCACACUGUCAAGAAAAGUCUCUAUCGAGGUUAAAGGUACCCGUACCGCAAACCGACACAGGUGGGUGAGGAGAGUAUCCUAAGGCCAGCGAGAGAACUGUUGUUAAGGAACUCGGCAAAAUGACCCCGUAACUUAGGGAUAAGGGGUGCCACCAUCAGGUGGCCGCAGAGAAUAGGCCCAAGCGACUGUUUACCAAAAACAUAGG
rnacentral:rRNA from 1 species